rnacentral:RNase_P_RNA from 1 species
UGGGUCGGCUGGACGGUCGCGUCACGGGUUCUCCCGUGCCGAGGAACGUCCGGGCUCCACAGGGCAGGACGGUGGGUAACGCCCACCCGGAGCAAUCCGCGAGACAGUGCCACAGAGAGCAGACCGCCCCGCGUCCCUGAGCUCGAGGACCUCGGUCCCUGAGCUCGUCGAAGGGCCGUGGGGUAAGGGUGAAAGGGUGGUGUAAGAGACCACCGGGGUCGUGGUGACACGACCCGCGAGGUAAACCUCGUCCGGAGCAAGGCCAGACAGGGGAUGCAGACGCGGCUCGCCGAGUCCCCGGGUAGGCCGCUGGAGCGGCACGGCAACGUGUCGCCGAGAGAGAUGACCGUCCACGGGGUUUCGGCCCCCGGACAGAACCCGGCGUACAGGCCGGCCCAUUCG